AGACCCCCGGGGUAUGGCCUCAGUAGCGGCGAGUGAAGCGGCAAGAGCUCAGAUUUGAAAUCGUGCUUUGCGGCACGAGUUGUAGAUUGCAGGUUGGAGUCUGUGUGGAAGGCGGUGUCCAAGUCCCUUGGAACAGGGCGCCCAGGAGGGUGAGAGCCCCGUGGGAUGCCGGCGGAAGCAGUGAGGCCCUUCUGACGAGUCGAGUUGUUUGGGAAU
rnacentral:rRNA from 1 species